ACGUAGGGGGCUAGCGUUGUUCGGAAUUACUGGGCGUAAAGCGCGUGUAGGCGGUUCGGCAAGUCGGAAGUGAAAGCCCUCGGCUCAACCGGGGAACUGCUUUCGAAACUGCUGGACUUGAGUGUGGGAGGGGAGAGCGGAAUUCCAGGUGUGGCGGUGAAAUGCGUAGAUAUCUGGAAGAACACCGGUGGCGAAGGCGGCUCUCAGGACCACUUCUGACGCUGAGACGCGAAAGCGUGGGGAGAGAACAG
rnacentral:rRNA from 1 species